rnacentral:tRNA from 1 species
AGCUUAGUGGUGAAGGCACCUGCAUACAAAGUAGGAGAGGAGAGUUUAAUCCUCUC